GUCUCAGUGGCAUAGUGGCUAAAUGCAUAGCACCGGAUAGGUUGAGACGCGGGUUCGAGUCCCGUCUGAGAUG
rnacentral:tRNA from 1 species